rnacentral:lncRNA from 1 species
GAAAGGAAAGGCGCUUGCUUUUUCCUGAUGGUGCCAGGACAAAAAUGCAUCCAUCACCUGCAUAUCAAGCACCCUGGGUAGAAAGGAAAGGCGCUUGCUUUUUCCUGAUGGUGCCAGGACACCUGCAUAUCAAGCACUGUGGGGGGAAAAGGAGGAGGAAUGGACUCCUUCAUGCGCUUUCAGAUUUUGAGCACUGCUGUAGCUCUUACAGGUAGGACGCUGAAAGAAACUGUGCUGAGAUAGAGACACAGAAUAUCUUUUUUUCAGCAGGACCUCCUGGUGCUCUCUGCUCUGGCACCUGACUCAAAGCAACUUCAACCCCGAGGCAGAUUCCACUCCGGAGCUGAGUGAGGUUGCUCAAGGCCUGGCCCAGUCAAAACCUUGGCUGUGUCUUCCAGCCUCUCCAGACACCCCAGUGGCUCUUGUGCCUCAUCAGGACCGCUCAGGAGAUCAGGAUAAAACAUUAGAGCAUUGGUAUCCUCAGUGCUUCCUAGAGGGAUUAACACCACCUAACUGCUCCUGUCCAUUAUUGCCGAGUUCAAAGGACGAGGACAUGAAUUUAAGGAGGCACGAAUUUUCACAAACACUGGCACAUGGUGACACGUAUGAAAUUCAUUACAUCCAACCUCAGCCAGCAAGACUCGUCAGGAGAUGAAAAAAAGCUUGAAGCAUAAGAAACAUCACAGAGACUGUCAAUUAAUAUCUCAUUAAUAAAGAAAAUAACAACAAAAUGAACA